AAGCUCCAGAGAUGUUCGUUUGCAUUUGACAAGCUGCUUCCCAAUUGUUGUACCUACUACUAGUACCAGAGAACCAAACUCCAAAAGUAAGUACAAAUCACAAGUGAAUGAAAUCACCCCUAUCUGUUUUGUUCUCUUUACAGAAAAUGCCUUGAGAGGUGGCACCGAAUCCUGCUGACAAGAUUAAUUACCUCUUGGGAAGAGACAAGGAACUGCAAAUGUAAUUUUGUUAUUCAGCUGAGUGUCAGAGGGGAAGGAAGUUUUUAUGAGGUCCCUCUUACUGUAGCUGAAGGCACUGGGAAUGUCCCUAGAGUACGAGCGCAGUGUAUAAAAAGGGGGAAGUCACACUCGAUGCAUCAGUCGCUCGCUCAUCUCGCUGAGCAUAUAGCUGAGAUCAUGAUGGUC